CCCCACCCUCCCCCCCAAUUGUUGGUCCCAAAUCAACAGAGGAGUAACUUGAAGGCUGGCAUUCAAUGAAUAGAAGCCAGUGGCCAGACUGUACCAUUCCAGCUUUCAGCAGGGGAUGGAACAGCUGCUAGAGGUAAAGAAUCACAGUUCACUACAGCUUCCAAUCUCAAAAGUUGUUGCUUCCAUGUCCAUCAAGAAAUUGUCAGGGGCUGGAAGACAACAGAGGCUACACAAGAGCCCAGGGGAUGAAGAACAGAAGAAGAAAUCCCCCUUAAAAGCUGAAGGAGGGCAGGAAGC